UACAGAGGUCUCAAGCGUUGUUCGGAAUCACUGGGCGUAAAGGGUGCGUAGGCCGCACGGUAAGUCAGAUGUGAAAGCCCGGAGCUCAACUCCGGAACUGCAUCCGAUACUGCCGUGCUUGAGGACUGAAGAGGAGUCUGGAAUUCACAGUGGAGCAGUGAAAUGCGUAGAUAUUGUGAGGAACACUAGUGGCGAAGGCGAGACUCUGGACAGUUCCUGACGCUGAGGCACGAAGGCCAGGGGAGCAAACGGG
rnacentral:rRNA from 1 species